rnacentral:rRNA from 1 species
UGGGGAAUCUUGCACAAUGGGCGAAAGCCUGAUGCAGCAACGCCGCGUGCGGGAAGACAGCCCUAGGGUUGUAAACCGCUUUCAGCAGGGAAGAAACUGACGGUACCUGCAGAAGAAGAUGCGGCCAACUACGUGCCAGCAGCCGCGGUGACACGUAGGCAUCAAGCGUUAUCCGGAUUUAUUGGGCGUAAAGAGCUCGUAGGCGGUUCGGUAAGUCGGGUGUGAAAACUCUGGGCUCAACCCAGAGAGGCCACUCGAUACUGCUGUGACUAGAGUGCGGUAGGGGAGCGGGGAAUUCCUGGUGUAGCGGUGAAAUGCGCAGAUAUCAGGAGGAACACCAGUGGCGAAGGCGCCGCUCUGGGCCGUAACUGACGCUGAGGAGCGAAAGCAUGGGUAGCAAACAGGAUUAGAUACCCUGGUAGUCCACGCCGUAAACGAUGUCUGCUAGUCGUUGGGGGGCGUAGCCCUUCAGUGACGCCGCUAACGCAUUAAGCAGACCGCCUGGGAGUACGGCC